CGUAGAGUUUGAUUCUGGCUCAGAACGUACGCUGGUAGCGUGGAUUAGGCAUGCAAGUCGAACGGGAUCCAUGAAGUAGCAAUACGGAUUGGUGAGAGUGGCGGAAGGGCGAGGAACACGUGAGCAACCUGUCCUUGAGGUGGGAAAACCGUUGGAAACGACGGCUAAUACCGAAUGUGGCGCCGGGAGACAUCUCCCGAACGCUAAAGGGGGCGAAAGCUCUCCCUCUUCGAGGGGCUCGCGCACCAUCAGCUUGUUGGCGGGGUAACGGCCCACCAAGGCUUACGGUUAGCUGGUCUGAGAGGAUGGCCAGCCGCACUGGGACUGAGAUACUGCCCAGACUCCUACGGGAGGCUGCAGUCGAGGAUCAUUCGCAGUGGGGGAAACCCUGACGAUGCGACGCUGCGUGGAAGGAUGAAGGCCUUCGGGUUGUAAACUCCUGUCAUGAGGGAAAAGGAGACCUUACCUAACACGUAGGGGAUUUGAUGGUACCUCAAGAGGAAGGGACGGCUAACUCUGUGCCAGCCGCUGC
rnacentral:rRNA from 1 species